rnacentral:lncRNA from 1 species
ACAGUGUAGAAGGUGCAUUCUACGGAUAAAAAAAACAGUUUUUUCGAAAAUUAAAGAAGUUUCAGUUAAAAAAAUAUUCUAAAAAUAUUAUAAUUUCCUAAAACGUGUCCUGGUCGAUUUUUUUUGUCAAAAUAUAAAAAUAAACGAUUUUGGCUUUUUUUCUUCAUCAAUCUAUGAUUUCUCCAUAGUUUGUCUUGUGAUUUUCACAAACUCUUGUUCUAUGAUGCAUAUCUAUACAAUAUGUGGUGUUUGAGAAUUUAGUGCAAACAAGAGAUUGGUUUUUUCGGCUGAUGAUAAAGGAGUAGACUACUGUUAUUGAAAUCAAGUUCUACCUUAGAGGAUUUUAAAAGAAUAGUUUUCGAGGAUUUUAAAAACCAAAUGCAAUUAGGUUACGUGAUAUUUUUGGUCUGUGUCGUGUGUUCUUUUUUAAAAAAAAUUGUUUUUACAUUUUUUUUCCUUUCUAAAACAUUAUGGGAUUACCUUAUAUUUUUAUAUUUUUCCAUUAAACCUUUUUUAAAAAUAGUUUUAAUUUAUGUUUAAUUUGAUUAAGGAAAGAUUAGUUUUGGGAUUAUGAAAAAUGUUAUACUAUAUGAACAACUUAGUGAUGGUUUUAUACCAUAGGGACAAACUAUGUUGUUUUUUUGUUAUGUUUUGGCAAUUUUCCCUUAGAUCUUUCCGUCUUUCUUUCAGGUUAUCUAGUUUAAAGACAAUGAACUAGUUCAGCUUAUCUUUCUUGAACGACAUCAAAAUUAUAUGUCCUACAAUUGCUGGCCAGGCUUUGGGUUGAUUAAGCGCCCUAAUGAUCUCAUCUUUGGUGACUCCAAAGGUGACUUUCUCCAAAUGUGUAAGCUCUGCAUACUCUUCUCUGCUUUUGAUCAGUCUUGCCUUCAAGCACACCAAAAACAGGAGCGUCGCAGAACCACACCAGCGGCGCCUCUUACAAAAGCAUCCUCGUCUUGCCUGGAACAUUGUCAACUUUGCAGAACGUUAGACCAAAAAAAAAAACUUUGCAGAACGAUUUUACCAACCAGGUUCACUUGUCUUGAAACUGUUCGUAGUCAGCCCCCGGCUUGUUCCAAUUUUCUUUCCCUUUAGAGGAACUAAUUACUGAAAUAGAUCCAAACAUUAGUUUACUAAGCAAGCUUUCAUCUAAAAACAGGUUGGCGCUAAUAUAUUGUCUUGUCCACCA